UUGCUUCAGCAGCACAUACACUAAAAUUGGAACAAUACAGAGAAGAUUAGCAUGGGCCCUGCGCAAGGAUGACAUGCAAAUUCGAGAAGUGUUCCAUAUUUAA